GAUGAACGCUAGCGGCAGGCUUAAUACAUGCAAGUCGAGGGGCAGCAUGAUUGUAGCAAUACAAUUGAUGGCGACCGGCAAACGGGUGCGGAACACGUACACAACCUUCCAACAAGUGGGGGAUAGCCCAGAGAAAUUUGGAUUAAUACCCCGUAACAUAGCGAUGUGGCAUCACAUUGCUAUUAUAGAUUUUUCGCUUGUUGAUGGGUGUGCGGCUGAUUAGAUAGUUGGCGGGGUAACGGCCCACCAAGUCUACGAUCAGUAGCUGAUGUGAGAGCAUGAUCAGCCACACGGGCACUGAGACACGGGCCCGACUCCUACGGGAGGCAGCAGUAAGGAAUAUUGGACAAUGGACGCAAGUCUGAUCCAGCCAUGCCGCGUGAAGGAUUAAGGUCCUCUGGAUUGUAAACUUCUUUUAUAAGGGACGAAAAAAGGCUUUUCUAAGUCGUAUGACGGUACCUGAAGAAUAAGCACCGGCUAACUACGUGCCAGCCGCCGCAGUAAGAC
rnacentral:rRNA from 1 species